UACGUAGGGGGCUAGCGUUGUCCGGAAUCAUUGGGCGUAAAGCGCGUGUAGGCGGUCAGGCAAGUCCGCUGUGAAAGUCGGGGGCUCAACCCUCGGAUGCCGGUGGAUACUGUCGGGCUUGAGUACGGAAGAGGCGAGUGGAAUUCCUGGUGUAGCGGUGAAAUGCGCAGAUAUCAGGAGGAACACCAAUUGCGAAGGCAGCUCGCUGGGACGUUACUGACGCUGAGACGCGAAAGCGUGGGGAGCAAACAGG
rnacentral:rRNA from 1 species